rnacentral:lncRNA from 1 species
AAGUUCCAGGAUACAUGUGCAGGACAUGCAGUUUUGUUACAUAGGUUUACAUCCAUUCCCAAUGCAUUUUCACAUCUAACUUCUCAUUUAAUCUUUACCACCGCCACCCAUAAAAGAGGUAACAUUACUACCUUCACUUGGCAAAUGAGGGGACCAAAUCUCUUGUCUGCGACUUUCACUCAGUCACUCAUUCAAUCAAUUAUUAAGCCCCUACACUUGCCAGGCACUUGCCCAAGUCAUGGGAUGCAGCCAAGUACUACGCCAGAUGCUGUUUACACAUAGAGUUUUGAGCUGUUUCUCAAGGAGGGGCAUUGGUGGCAUUUGGGCAGAAUGAUUCUUUGAUGGGCAGAAAGGUCCCACCCUUCGCAGAAUGUCUAUCACUAAACUGCAAUCAUUCUCGCCAAUCUUUAGGGUGGAUGGGAAGAGUAAUGCCCAAAUGAGAGCCCUCCCAGAUGUUCAGAGCAGCGGAUAUGAAGUCAUACAGCCGGGUUUGGUUUUUAUUCCAUCCAUUCCUCUCCUGGGGACCUUAGACAAGUGAUAAUGCUCUAUGCUUCAGUUUCCCCCCUUGUAAAAUGGUGGUAAUUAUAGCGUAUACAUUAUACGAGUCCCAUGGGGGAGUAAUCUAUAUUCAAUGCCUGACCCAAGUUGGCCUUCGGUAAAUAAUAUCCAAUAAAUAUCUUUACUAUUUCAUUGGUUCAUCUCCCAUCUACCCUCAUCUCCUUCAAUCUUUAAAGCGACCUUUGCAGAGAGAACUUCCCUGACAAUCCUAUUUAAAAUUUCAAUCCCCCCACCACUGCCACUUCACAUCCCCCUUCCUUGCUUCCCCGCCUCCCGUAGCAUUUGUCACCUUCCAACAUACUCUAUAAUUUAAUAUCCAUUUGUUAUUGUGUCUCCCCCACUAUGAUGUAUGUUCCAUGAGGACAUGGAUUUUCACCUGUUUGAUUCUACACCUAGAACAGAGCUUAACUCUUAGUAAGCAUUUAACAAAAAUAUCUUGAAUGAUGUCAAAUGGAUAUAGGGAACAGCCAAAUCCUAAAAGCUGGUGUCCAGACUCCAAAUUCUGUGCUCUUUUCACUAUAAUGAGUGACCUUAUGCAAUGAUAUUAAAGGUAAAAUAUGACAACCGUUAAGAAAUGUUAAGUGUCCUGUUACAACACUACCUUAGAGGGGCCUCUGUGGUUUCCCUCUUCUGAGAUUCUUCGAAGUUAACAGUUUCUAACAGAAACCCAGCCACCAGCUUCUUUCACUUGAGUUGCCUUUGUGAGUUUCUUCUCCCAAGGCAUUUAAGAUAACGAUUCAAGCCAGAGAAUGAUAAGGACUGAAACACUUCCAUUACCAGGUUUCUUUGUCUCUAUCCAUAUCUACAUGAGACAGAACCCAAGUCCUGGUGAUGCUGGAAAUAUCAGCCCUCCCCAUACAGCUUAUCUAAAGCCAAACUAAGCCUCCACCACCGCUAGAACUGGCACCAGGUUAACACUGUACUUUUACCCAGAGUUGACAAUGGCAGGUUUGACAAUAACCAAUGACAUUCAAGGCAGGUCUAGUCCUGGAGUUCCAAAAUCCUAGUGGACACUGUGCCACAAAAGGGGUCCGGGAAGGAAACAUCAGACUUCCCAUUUUUUGUUCAUCUAGACACCAGACCUUCCAUUUUCAGUUAACCUAAAAAAAUUUUAACUAUAUCAAGAAUACAAAUGGCCACAAACAACUCCAUCUAACCUGUCAUAUCAAAUUACAUGUCAGUUAUGAAACUCAGGCAGGUAUCCUCAACCACAAAAUGAACUGGAGUGACCACCUCAAUAAUUCCACCAUUCUCAGCAUAUUUCAAUGAAUAACCAUUUACAACUGAAUCAUAAGUAAAUUUACAGAUUAUAUUAUCUACUUUUAACUAUCCUAUUCCUCACAAAAUAGAACUGAGGCCUAAAGAGAUCCCAGCCAAGAAACCACAACUUGAAGAUAAUUGUCACAAUCCAGGCACACAAGAAAAUGGCAUUCCUCCCUCUUGAGUACUAGCUCUCCAUUGUAUCUUUGUGGACAACAUUACAAGGUCAAAAGGAUGAAAGAAUCAGAAUUGAUAAAGAGUCAGCCAACGGAAUUAUCCAACAGAUAACGACAUAGGGGUUUGCAGUCACUAGUCAGAAAGGAUCCUAUCCUAGAUAUGUAGAUAAUGGUAGUAAUAUGCAGAAAUUAUUUAUAAACAAAAUAUAUUGAGGGAUGGCUGCUCAAAUAUGUUUUACCAAUAGGGUGUGGUGAGUAUUGUGAUUAUUUGCUCAUCGUUCAUUCUACCCUCCUUCUAGAAAGCUUUCUAGCCUGCAGAGGCUGGUAAUUGAAAAGCUGUAUUUCCCAGGCUUCUUUGAAGCUAAGGUUCUAGAUGUGAAUUUGGCUCUCCCAAAUAGAAGCACUCACUUGAGAUUUAGAAAGCAGAUGUGGGGCAGAGAGGCCAUCUUCUUGCCUUUGGGGCUGUUUGGCCGCUGGCAAGCAUGGAGAUGGGGUCACGAGGGUUUUUUGCAACAGCAUUAUAGGGUCCACUCUCCGGCUUUGCCAUCAAUUUGUUCUUGAACUCAAUAGUUCCAGACACAGUAUCAGAGGGUGUAGCACCCCUAGUGAGUCAGUUUUGUUUUUUGUUUUUUGUUUUUUUUGAACAGCCAUGCCAACAUACGUUUGUUUAUUAAUUAUUAUAUAAACUACUACCAUUAGCUGGGAGACAUUCCUGGAGCCCCAUUCCUCCAGCCCCCUUAUGCCUCUAUAAGCACAAAAUUCCCUCUAGUAAAUAUCUUUCUGCUUAAAAUACCUAGACUGGUGCUGGACACGGUGGCUUAUGCCUGUAAUCCUAGCAUUUUGGGAGGCCGUGGCGGGCAGAUCACCUGAGGUCAGGAGUUCGAGUGAUGCACCCGCCUCAGCCUCCCAAGGUGCUGGGAUUCCAGGUAUGAGCCACCGCGCCCUGCCUUCCUUUUUUUCUUUCUCUCCCUCCUCUCAUACCCUCCAGCCACCAACGAAGCCUGGAACCCAUUGCUUUUGCAAUACUAUUUUUCUAUUUCACAUGUAGGUAUCUGGAACCCCUGCCAGAGGCCUCCAAAUUUUUAGCUACACAAUCCGUGCCAUGCUGUGGUCCCUUCUGCCUCUCCCAGGGUGAUCUGGAGAGACAGAAACUGCAGAGCCAGGCUGAAGGAUCAGCUCUCCUUACCCCCAAGAUACUUCAGAGAAGCAAGGAUCUUUAACUUUUAAAGAAAUUCAAACCAGUGAAAGAGAUUCCACAUCAGUGGUCAUUAACAGUGUAGCUUAAUAAAAUGAACCCCUCAAAAAGAAAAUGUUUAAUGUAGAUUUGAAAGUAUAUUUUUAUGCCCCGUGUAAUGAUAAACUGUUGACACAGAGCUUUUGUGGACUGUAAGUAAUCUGAAAUAAGGAAGGCCUUUCAACUGAACUAUCUGUAAUUCUACAUUCAACACAAUGUUUUGAAAGUAGUAUUUGCUAUGGACUGGAGGGAAAUAUCAGAAAAGUAUAUUUAUAGAGAUCUAAAUAAUAAACAAUGGGAGAAAAUAGGACUAGAGGGGGACAUAAAGGAUGGGGCAGGAUCAUCGACAGAGGAUCUUUUUCAGCACAAGCUUAGAAAAGGUUCUCUGCCUCUUCCAAAAGGCUAGGCUGAAAAGAUAUGAUGUCACUUUCAAGUCAACUUAAGACUAACAAGGGCUGGAAAUUUUCACAAAGUGACAAUUACAAGUUGGAAGUUUCUUUCUAGUAUCUUUGGCUAGAAAGUUAUUUCCCAAUUCUCACAAAGAAUUCCAUGACAAUUGUAUUUCCCUGGGCAAUUAACAGGUACACAGAAGCUCAAGCGCAUUCCUGCUGAAGGCUGACACUCAUCCGUGUUCUGGGCAUUCGUACAGAGCAUUACUGGCAUUCACGGUCCCAGCGAAACCUGAACACAGCUCUAGAGUCUAGACCAAAUCACCGGCCCCUUGUUUAAACUGUUUGAACCCGAGUGUAUCUGUACACCACCAGUCCCCUGGCGCUCUGGGGUGAGUCUGGCCCGGUCUCCGGUGGGCCCUGGAGCUUGGCACUCUGAGAUACCCCUGGCUGUCUGGCCCUGCCCACUGCAACCAAGGCCUGCCUGCCGGAAUGCAAGCCAGGUCCAUUUUUAAAUUCCUUUAUAAGUUUCACAACCGCAGGUUUGGGUGAGGAGACAAACACCGCUGUAGUUUGCUGACAUUAAACUAAAAAUACCCAGCUGCAAACAAA